AACGAACGCUGGCGGCAUGCCUAACACAUGCAAGUCGAACGAGACCUUCGGGUCUAUUGGCGCACGGGUGCGUAACGCGUGGGAACCUGCCCUUAGGUUCGGAAUAACUCCCCGAAAGGGGUGCUAAUACCGGAUCAUAUCUUCGGACCAAAGAUUUAUCGCCUUUGGUUGUGCCCGCGUUGGAUUAGCUAGUUGGUUGGGUAAAAGCCUACCAAGGCGACGAUCCAUAGCUGGUCUGAGAGGAUGAUCAGCCACACUGGGACUGAGACACGGCCCAGAAUCCUACGGGAUGGAGCAGUGGGGGAUAGUGGACCACGGGCGGAAGCAUGAACCAGCAAUGACGCGUGAGUGAUGAAGGCCUGAGGGUUGUAAAGCUCUUUUACCCGGGAUGAUAAUGACAGUACCGGGAGAAUAAGCCCCGGCUAACUACGUG
rnacentral:rRNA from 1 species